UCGGUGGGGAUUAGUGGCGAACGGGUGAGUAACACGUGGGCAAUCUGCCCUUCACUCUGGGACAAGCCCUGGAAACGGGGUCUAAUACCGGAUACCACUACCGCAGGCAUCUGUGGUGGUUGAAAGCUCCGGCGGUGAAGGAUGAGCCCGCGGCCUAUCAGCUUGUUGGUGAGGUAAUGGCUCACCAAGGCGACGACGGGUAGCCGGCCUGAGAGGGCGACCGGCCACACUGGGACUGAGACACGGCCCAGACUCCUACGGGAGGCAGCAGUGGGGAAUAUUGCACAAUGGGCGAAAGCCUGAUGCAGCGACGCCGCGUGAGGGAUGACGGCCUUCGGGUUGUAAACCUCUUUCAGCAGGGAAGAAGCGAAAGUGACGGUACCUGCAGAAGAAGCGCCGGCUAACUACGUGCCAGCAGCCGCGGUAAUACGUAGGGCGCAAGCGUUGUCCGGAAUUAUUGGGCGUAAAGAGCUCGUAGGCGGCUUGUCACGUCGGGUGUGAAAGCCCGGGGCUUAACCCCGGGUCUGCAUUCGAUACGGGCUAGCUAGAGUGUGGUAGGGGAGAUCGGAAUUCCUGGUGUAGCGGUGAAAUGCGCAGAUA
rnacentral:rRNA from 1 species